rnacentral:rRNA from 1 species
GUGUCAGCAGCCGCGGUAAUACAGAGGUCCCAAGCGUUGUUCGGAUUCACUGGGCGUAAAGGGUGCGUAGGUGGUGAGGGAAGUUCGAUGUGAAAUCUCCGGGCUUAACCCGGAAACGGCAUUGAAUACUCUCUUGCUCGAGGGUCGGAGGGGAGACUGGAAUUCUCGGUGUAGCGGUGAAAUGCGUAGAUAUCGAGAGGAACACCAGUGGCGAAAGCGAGUCUCUGGACGACACCUGACACUGAGGCACGAAAGCUAGGGGAUCAAACAGGAUUAGAUACCCUCGUAGUCC